rnacentral:rRNA from 1 species
UACGAAGGGGGCUAGCGUUGUUCGGAAUUACUGGGCGUAAAGGGCGCGUAGGCUGUGCUGUAAGUCAGGCGUGAAAGCCCCGGGCUCAACCUGGGAAUUGCGCUUGAUACUGCGGCGCUGGAAGGUGGGAGAGGAUGGCGGAAUUCCCAGUGUAGAGGUGAAAUUCGUAGAUAUUGGGAAGAACACCGGUGGCGAAGGCGGCGACCUGGUCCGAUACUGACGCUGAGGCGCGAAAGCGUGGGGAGCAAACAGG